rnacentral:rRNA from 1 species
UACGUAGGGUGCGAGCGUUAAUCGGAAUUACUGGGCGUAAAGUGUGCGCAGGCGGCCGCGCAAGUCGAGUGUGAAAGCCCCGAGCUUAACUUGGGAAUUGCGCUCGAAACUACGUGGCUGGAGUGUGGCAGAGGAAGGUGGAAUUCCACGUGUAGCGGUGAAAUGCGUAGAGAUGUGGAGGAACACCAAUGGCGAAGGCAGCCUUCUGGGCCAACACUGACGCUGAGACGCGAAAGCGUGGGGAGCAAACAGG